rnacentral:lncRNA from 1 species
AUCUCCACUACAUUGUGUUUUAAUUUUUUUGUUAAAAAUAAAUCAAUUUUAGUAUCACAAUAUGUGUUAUAAACAAUACAAUUUUGAAAGCUAAUAAUCUGAAGAAUAAAUUAGACAAGGGAUUGUGACAUAAUGUGUAUUAACAUACAUCCUGUGAAUAAGGAUACACAAAAAUAAACUUAAAACGCUUCUCCUGUAAAAUUACGAAUUUGUGACAUAGUGCCCUUUACCUCCGGCAUACAGAAUUAUUCUUGAGUAAUGAGCAUUUUAGUGUAUUUGUUUUAAGUUAAUUAUUUAUUUGAUAAAUUUGCAUUGCUACACUUUUUAGACAGGUAUCUGAAGGUACUUUUUUACACUUUAAAUUAAAUUUAAAAAAAGUUACAUCAAGCUAAAUGUUUCAAAUUUUGUGGACGUAUUACUUUUAUCCACAUACUAAAAAAAUGUUAGGGUUAAGUGGAUAAAAGAGCUAAGUAUCAACAAUGGACAAUUAUUUAAAAAAAUAUGAUAUAUGUCACGAUAUAGAUCGUGAAUAAAUAUUGACUGAUGUUUC